GUUGGUGGAGCGAUUUGUCUGGUUAAUUCCGAUAACGAACGAGACUCUAGCCUGCUAAAUAGCUCGGGCGUCUCCGUCCGCGCCCGUCAGCUUCUUAGAGGGACUCGCGGCGUUUAGCCGCACGAGAUUGAGCAAUAACAGGU
rnacentral:rRNA from 1 species